AGAAAAGAACAAAACUGGCUAUAAGAGCACCAACACUUCUGACACCGCUUCUGACAACUCCAAGGAAGUGAAGGCCUGAGUGUUCACAAAGAAGAAAAAUGCAGACCGUUUCCUUUAUCUGCAUACAGAGCUAACUUUGCUUCUUUCUUUUUAAAAAUGCAGUUUGUAAAUAAGGGAGAACCUGUCAUAUUCUGUAAUCUGCAUAUAUGCAAAUAUAAUGAGCCAGAAGAAAAUGU